ACUCAUUUUAGCACAGUGAUGGGUGGGGUGUUACAUUGAUCACCACUUUUAAUUUGAAUGUGGAUGCACGUUGCCAUCUUUGAUCGUAUAUUACAUAAAUCCCUUCAGUACUAGUGGCAACAUCUGCAGAGGCUUUAGGAGAGGAGGCGGUGGACGAUAAGGCUCUCUAACUAGUCAUCGUUUGUUCAGGUUUUGUGGUGGCCAUGCAUUGGAUGCUCUUAUCAAUAGUGCUUGUUGUAGUAUGAUGGCUGAUGAUUAAACUUAAAAAUUUGUGUUUGGAAUUUGGGUUUUAGAGAAGAGAAAGAGAACU
rnacentral:lncRNA from 1 species